UGUCAGUCUGCAGAAGGUCAGCACAUAAUGCAUGAGCUCUCUCAUACUAGCAGCAUAUUCUUUCCUACUCUCUGUUGUCUUGGUAGUAUAACAAAGUAAAGGUACUCAUUUAUUUUAUAGAUGUUUAUAUAUUUGUAUUAUCUUUGUAGCAGGACCAUUACAAGAAUCCAGAGAGCAUGGUUCUGUGUUUUCGAAGAAUUACCCCUGGAUAUAUCCGAUUACUGCAGGUAAGAAAUCUUUAAAUGUUUCUUUAGUUUUAAAACAUAUUCACUAGUUAAAAGUAAAAUAUUCACUAAUCUCCUUUUGGAACUAAAUUCAACUUACUUUCAAACUUUACUAAUGACAUGUUUGGAUAUUUGAUACAUAAAACAAAGUAACAUUAUAUUUUUCAGAAUGGACUGAUUCAAAUAUCCAUAUCUGAUUUGGAAUAGCUUAAAUCCAAAGGACACUACAAUAAAACCCUUGGGAAAGGUUUUGCGUAAUGAAUGGAUAAUACCUGGUAUGGGAUGGAAUCUAAACAGUUAUGGCUUCAACAACCAGUCCCUAGAAUUAUAACCAGAAUGCAGGAUCUAUUAACCAUCAUCUUUCUUUAAAUGACUCAAUAGAUUUUGAGAUUCAUAAAUGAUUAAAAAAAAAAUCUAAGUUAUAAAAGAAAGGUUAAUAUUCUGAUCCAAUCAUUUUAUGUGUCAGAUAAUGUAGUUCAUUUCCUUUUGUGCAGUUCCUGUGCAGUGAAUGUUCUUUUUUAAUGUAUUCCUAUAAUACUGCUAUUGAUUCAUUGUUUGUUUUUGUGUUUUUUCACCUAUAACCUUAAAACUGCAGUGUUGUAUUGUUGUUGUUAUUUACAAUAUACUUGAAAAACAAGAAUGUGUGUUCUUGGUAAAUCAAAUUUUUUUAUGGAUCUACUUUACCUCCAAUUCUGGUAUAUGACAGCUGUAUCAAAAUGGAUAAUAUUAACAAUAAUAUUUUUUUUUUAAAAUGAAAUAAAGAAGACGUAUUUACCCUCAUUUAGAAAAUAUUAAAGAUGAUGUAUGAAAUAAUAUUGAGACCACCAUUAGUUCAGAAUCAGCAAUGCUCUAAUUAGAAGUUGGGUGAGCAAUAUUUGAUUACAUGGCAAACUCUUUAAUAAAGAUGGAAUAUCAAAUUGCUUAUUUAAUAUGUUAGACUGUUUGUGCAUGCCUUACAUGUUUAGCUUGCAAUUGCUGUAAAGCAGGUAAAAUGAUGCUAUAACAAUAAUGUAUGCAUUUAGGACCUGUGCAUAUUGGCUAUUGGCUAAUGGUAUUAUUCUAUAAGUGGAGUUAAGCAGAUCUGCUUGUUUUCACCUAUUAACUUUCAUUGACAUGAAUAGGACAUAGCAGAUGUAAAUUGCUUAACUAGAAAACAUUUUCAUCAGCUGACAGCUUUACUAGAGCUCUCCCGUCACUGUUUGACCACCUCCAAAAUAUUUGUUUUACAUGUUUUGGUAAACACAUUGCAAAUUACUCAUUAAGCAGUGAAUUGUGACAAACUGACAACUCAAAAUGUAGGGCAAGCUACUGAGUUUCUCUAAACUUUUGUCCGUUCUCAGAGUUUUCAUGUCCUUUGGUUUUAUUGCAAUGCCUUAACUUGGCUCUCCCCAAAUUAAAAGGGUAAUCCAGACAUGGACCUCGUGAUCACCAUACCUAGAUGGUUAUCAGCUACACCUCACUGAUGAGGCCCAAAGAAGGCAACGAUUGUCUUGGGUUACUGUACCUUCCUGGUGAAAUAUUUUAUGAAUAUUGACAAAUGUUCAAGGGUAUUAGAAGACCAUCUAAUGGUAGUGUUAUGGUUGGUGAUACUGAGACUUGCUCACAGCGGUACCUAAGGUUGUUCCUCACUCCGUCAGGUUUCAAUAUUGUAAGUGAACCUACAUUGCUGACACAGAACCAGAGAUAGCUGAGAGGAGAGCUGUGCUCUCUUUUAACACAUGUACUCUAACAUAGCAACCAAAGGACCCCUCCAGCUGCAUUGGAAGGUGGGAUAUGUGAUUAUGUGGUAAAAGACGUGGGGCUACUAAUGUAGGAAAUGAUGCGAGUGAUUUUCAAUGAAAGUAUUUCACAGCAAUUCACUCCAAUAAAACUCAUCUCUGACUGUCUCUCUGCUAUUUCUGACUGGAUGGCUGCCCACUUCCUUAAACUCAGCUUGACCAAAAUUGAAAUUCUGGUCGUUCCUCCCUCAAGUGUUGCUACUCCUAUGUUUGUCUCCCUCCAAGUCAACAGUGCUACCAUCAGCUCCACCACGCAGGCUCGCUGCCUAGAUGUUCUCUUUGACUCCGACCUCUCCUUCACGCCUCAUGUUCAGUCUAUCGCCAAAUCCUGCCGCUUCCAUAUCAAAAACAUUGCGUGCAUCCGACCCUACUUAACGCCAAAUGCGACUAAGGUGCUCAUCCAUUCCACUGUCCUUUCUCUCCUUGACUACUGUAAUCCGCUUCUUGGUGGUCUUAAGUGCUCCCAACUUGCACCGUUACAGUCCAUAAUGAAUGCGGCGGCGAGGCUCAUCUUCCUGUCUGCCCGCACCCCCCAUGCCUCACCCUUCUGUCAGUUCCUACAUUGGCUUGCUGUAAGAUAUAGGGCUCAAUUUAAAAUUCGGGUUCUUGCUUUCAAAUCUCUACAUAAUGCUGCUUCUACCUAGCUAUCCUCCCUAAUACACAAAUAUGUCCAGGCUAGGCCCUUAUACUCUGCUGAAGACUUACGUCUAUCUUCUGUCCAUACUCCAACCUCUGAUGCUCGCCUUCAAGACUUCUCGAGGGCUGCACCGUUCCAGUGGAACUCACUACCCUCCUCCAUUAGAUGCUCACCCAGUCUCCACUCCUUCAAAAAAUCAUUAAAAACCCACUUCUUCAUAAAAGUGUAUCAAUUAAACUGUUAAUAGCUCCUGACUGAUUCCUCUCUUGUAACUGUCAUUAGUCUAAUACUAUCCUUACCUUUUGUUUCACUUUACCCCACUCCCUCUAACAUGUAAGCUCAUUGAGCAGGGCCCUCAACCUCUCUGUUCCUGUGUGUCAAACUUGUCUGGUUACAACUACAUGUUUGCUCGUCCACCCAAUGUAAAGCGCUGCGGAAUUUGUUGGCGCUAUAUAAAUAAUAACAUAAUAAUAAUAGUUCGUACAUCCACAUGUGGUGGGUAUGCCCACAGAUAGCGCUUUUUUGGCAACAGAUUAGGGAUUUGAUAGCUCAAGUAUUCUUUAGAGCCCCUCCUUUGGACCCGUGGCUAUACCUACUGAGUAGAACCAUAGAUGGCUGGACAAGGCAUGAACAAAAACUCAUACAUAAAAUAACCCUGGCAGCUAGGAGAGCAGUGGCCGCAGAUUGGCUUAAACCAAACACGCCACCUAUAGCAGCGGUCAUUAAUAGAAUAAGAGAGGUGCACCUGAUGGAUGACAGCAUGGGAGGAGAGCCCACUGAGCUAGGUAGCCCGGUGCCCCCCCCGUUUACGACACAUAUGGAUCAACAGAGGAAUGUAACCCCCCUGAUCCCUCUAUACCACCACUGUACUUUGUUCUUUUUCUUCUGUCUUCUGUUUCAGUCUUUCUUUCUGUCCUCUUCUUAAGUUGAGCAGCACGAUUCUCCCUGUAACUUCAGAGAAUUGGUAAAAGGAAUAGGGGUGACACACUACAGGGGGAACGUAUUUGGUAUUUUGAACGUAUUUGGUCCACUGGGAGACGGAGGUCUUCUAAAUGGCUGCCCUACAUGGGCAAAGACCAGGGGAAGCUGAAAGGAAAUAUAUUAGCCAGUGUGACUCACACCUACGAUUGUUCAUUUAUUUUUUCAGUGGUACCGCUUUUAUUUUCAGAUUAUUGUUAUUCUUCUAAAUAAAAAUUGAAAAUCUAUAUUGACAUAAGGUAACCCGAUCUCUAUGUAGAACGGAAAGGGAGCAGCGUGCCUGACAGGGAGCAUUAGCUCAGAGCAUUAGGAUAUGUGUCAAGGUGAGAGGAGGCAUUGAAUACGUUGUAUAUUUGUUGUAUACCAUGUAUGUGGUGUCUUGCAAUGUAAACACUUGUGCAUUUGUGAUGUACCAUAUAACCUUUGUCAAUAAAAAUAAAGAAUUAAAAAAAUAAUAAUAAUAAUAAUAAUAGUUUUGCUCAUCUAUGUGCAUGUGGUACAUGGUGUACUAACAACUAAGUUGCAAAAUCCCCAUUAGAAUUCUGGAGCUCCAGUUGUCUUUUGAGGAUUUACUAUAUUUUUUAAUUUUGCUUGCCUAUAUUGGUUUUUAAAUAUUAACUUUUUAUUUGUAUAUUUUUUUUAGAUCCAGGCUUCCAGCAAAAUAAUCAUCAAUGCAACAGACACAACCAUGAGACGUGCAGCCAUUUUUCUAGGUAUAAGUGGAAUAUGGAUAUCUAGCUACAGCACACAUCAAAUGAUUACACAAAUUAAUAAAUAACAAUUA